CGCAUCUGUGCAUGCAGCAUUAUCAAUAAGCGGAGGAAAAGAAACUAACAAGGAUUCCCUCAGUAACGGCGAGUGAAGCGGGAAGAGCUCAAAUUUGAAAUCUUGAAAGGUCACCUUUCACGAAUUGUAGUUUAAAGAAGUGUUUUCUGUUACGAUCGUAAUAUAAGUUCUUUGGAAUAGGACAUCACAGAGGGUGAGAAUCCCGUCUAUGAUUGCGAUUUGUAGCUUUGUGAUACACUUUCAAAGAGUCGGGUUGUUUGGGAAUGCAGCCCAAAACGGGAGGUAAAUUUCUUCUAAGGCUAAAUAUUGGCGAGAGACCGAUAGCGAACAAGUACCGUGAGGGAAAGAUGAAAAGAACUUUGAAAAGAGAGUUAAAUAGUACGUGAAAUUGUCAAAAGGGAAGCGUUUAACACCAGUGUUGUUUUCUGAAAAUCAACCUCUGUUAGCUUUAUGCAUGUUUGUUUAGACCUAAAUCAGCUAUCUUGCAUGUUCUAUUGUUUGCAGUGGUGCACUUUUCAGUCUACAGGUCAACAUCAGUUUUUUUUACCGUAAAAAAGUUAAAGAAAGGUAGCUCAUGGCUCCGGUCGUGAGUGUUAUAGUCUUUUUCCUAUGCGGUAGGAGAGACUGAGGUCUGCAGUGUAGGCUAUUUGGCUAGAUACUCAGGUGCUAUGUGAUACCAUUUCAUAAACAACUUGUUGAUUAUGUUUUGUCUAUUGCAUACUCGCUUGUACUAUCAUACCUACGCUUAGGAUGUUGACGAUCAGCUGAGCGCG
rnacentral:rRNA from 1 species